GAGUUUGAUCGUGGCUCAGAUUGAACGCUGGCGGCAGGCCUAACACAUGCAGGUCGAGCGGAUGACGGGAGCUUGCUCCUUGAUUCAGCGGCGGACGGGUGAGUAAUGCCUAGGAAUCUGCCUGGUAGUGGGGGACAACGUUUCGAAAGGAACGCUAAUACCGCAUACGUCCUACGGGAGAAAGCAGGGGACCUUCGGGCCUUGCGCUAUCAGAUGAGCCUAGGUCGGAUUAGCUAGUUGGUGGGGUAAUGGCUCACCAAGGCGACGAUCCGUAACUGGUCUGAGAGGAUGAUCAGUCACACUGGAACUGAGACACGGUCCAGACUCCUACGGGAGGCAGCAGUGGGGAAUAUUGGACAAUGGGCGAAAGCCUGAUCCAGCCAUGCCGCGUGUGUGAAGAAGGUCUUCGGAUUGUAAAGCACUUUAAGUUGGGAGGAAGGGCAGUAAGUUAAUACCUUGCUGUUUUGACGUUACCGACAGAAUAAGCACCGGCUAACUCUGUGCCAGCAG
rnacentral:rRNA from 1 species